rfam:Candidatus Rokubacteria bacterium 13_1_20CM_2_70_7 13_1_20cm_2_scaffold_4839, whole genome shotgun sequence.
AGAGAAGGCCGGAUGGUCGCCGGCCGCGGUGACGCGGCGGGAGGAAAGUCCGGGCUCCGCAGGGCAGGGUGCUGGGUAACACCCAGGGGGGGCGACCCCACGGACCAGUGCCACAGAAAAGAGACCGCCGCUUCUUCGGACUCUCGAGAGCGGAGGAGCGGUAAGGGUGAAACGGUGAGGUAAGAGCUCACCAGCGGCGCGGGUGACCGCGCCGGCUCGGUAAACCCCACCCGGAGCAAGGCCGAAUAGGAGAGCAAUCGGGCGGCCCGCCCGCGCUCUCGGGUCAGGCCGCUGGAGACGCCGGGCAAUCGGCGCCCUAGAGAAAUGACCGUCGCCCAGGGGUCGGGAAACCACUCAGGGCACAGAACCCGGCUUACAGGCCUUCUCUGGCG